UACAGAGGGGGCAAGCGUUGUUCGGAUUUACUGGGCGUAAAGGGCGCGUAGGCGGCCACCGCAAGUCGACUGUGAAAUCUCCGGGCUUAACCCGGAAAGGUCAGCCGAUACUGCGGGGCUAGAGUGCAGAAGGGGCAACUGGAAUUCUCGGUGUAGCGGUGAAAUGCGUAGAUAUCGAGAGGAACACCUGCGGCGAAGGCGGGUUGCUGGGCUGACACUGACGCUGAGGCGCGAAAGCUAGGGGAGCGAACGGG
rnacentral:rRNA from 1 species